GGAGAAGCUGUGGAUCUGUGGUAGAGCAACUGCUUUCCAAAUAGAAGGUCCCAGGUUUGAUUCCUGGCAUCUCCA